rnacentral:rRNA from 1 species
UACGGGAGGCAGCAGUGGGGAAUAUUGCACAAUGGGCGCAAGCCUGAUGCAGCCACGCCGCGUGUGUGAAGAAGGCCUUCGGGUUGUAAAGCACUUUCAGCGAGGAGGAAGGGUUCGGUGUUAAUAGCACCGUGCAUUGACGUUACUCGCAGAAGAAGCACCGGCUAACUCCGUGCCAGCAGCCGCGGUAAUACGGAGGGUGCAAGCGUUAAUCGGAAUUACUGGGCGUAAAGCGCACGCAGGCGGUUUUGUUAAGUCAGAUGUGAAAUCCCCGAGCUUAACUUGGGAACUGCAUUUUGAAACUGGCAAGCUAGAGUCUUGUAGAGGGGGUAGAAUUCCAGGUGUAGCGGUGAAAUGCGUAGAGAUCUGGAGGAAUACCGGUGGCGAAGGGCGGGCCCCUGGGACAAAGACUGACGCUCAGGUGCGAAAGCGUGGGGAGCGAAACAGGGAUUAGGAAUAACCCG